rnacentral:tRNA from 1 species
CCCCUGGUGGUCUAGUGGUUAGGAUGCAGCACUCUCACUGCCACGCCUGGAUUCGAUUCCCAGUCAGGGAA